UACGUAGGGGGCAAGCGUUGUUCGGAAUUACUGGGCGUAAAGCGCGUGUAGGCGGCUAUGUAAGUCGGGCGUGAAAUCCCACGGCUCAACCGUGGAAGUGCACCCGAAACUGCGUAGCUAGAGUCCUGGAGAGGAAGGUGGAAUGCUUGGUGUAGAGGUGAAAUUCGUAGAUAUCAAGCGGAACACCGGUGGCGAAGGCGGCCUUCUGGACAGUGACUGACGCUGAGACGCGAAAGCGUGGGGAGCAAACAGG
rnacentral:rRNA from 1 species